rnacentral:rRNA from 1 species
GGAUGGGGGCUAGCGUUGUUCGGAAUUACUGGGCGUAAAGGCGCGUAGGCGGCCAUUUAAGUUAGACGUGAAAGCCCUGGGCUUAACCUAGGAAUUGCGUUUAAUACUGGAUGGCUAGAGAUUGGUAGAGGAAAGCGGAAUUCCUAGUGUAGAGGUGAAAUUCGUAGAUAUUAGGAAGAACACCAGAGGCGAAGGCGGCUUUCUGGGCCAAUACUGACGCUGAGGCGCGAAAGCGUGGGGAGCAAACAGGAUUAGAUACCCUGGUAGUCCACGCUGUAAACGAUGAAUGCUAAACGUCGGGGAUUUAUUCUUCGGUGUUGCAGCUAACGCAUUAAGCAUUCCGCCUGGGGAGUACGGUCGCAAGAUUA